rnacentral:tRNA from 1 species
GCCUGGGUGGCUCAGUUGGUUAAGUGUCUGACUUCGGCUCAGGUCAUGAUCUCACGGUCCGUGAGUUCGAGCCCCGCAUCAGGCU